UCCAUUUAAAAGUCCAAUUACAAAGCCCAAGUGUUUUGGUUCAAUACAGAAGCACUACCCGUGUACCCGGUUACACCCAAAUACAAUCUAAACCCAAUACCUACCAGACCCUAAUACCCUAACUCAAUUACAAGGUGGCCCAGUUGGCCCAAAUUUUUUUAAGGUAAGGAACCCUAGGGUUUCUGCCUUUUCCCUCAGCGCCGUAACAGGAUCCAGAAGCUGCGCCACGUCAUCAGGGCCGUUCCAACUCCCGAAGCAAGAGCCAUCAAUGGCCCUAUCCCCUCACGUCACCCCAGCUGGCCCUAAUCAAUGAGCUAUCCAGAAACACUGGGGUACUCCGAACGUCACCACCGUCGGUGCACCUUAAUACUAGGCCUCACAUCCGACUUCGGUACCUCCUUUGACGCUGAGAUCUCCGCAAAAGAGACUGUCUUGUGGUCAUCAGUGCACAAAUGGGCAUCUGUCGAGAUUCGAAUCCAUGAUAGCAAGCCCAGCCACCGAGAUCUUCGCGAGUUACCUGCAAGAAAAGGAAACAAACAGCAAAUACGCGAAAAAGCAGAGUAGGAAAUGGCAAGAAAAUCACAGCAUAUCAGUCAAAGAUACAGAAGACACGAAAUGGAAAGAAAUCGUAGAUUUCUUUGCCAGAACAUGUAAGGGACUAAGGCUAUAAAGCCUUCCCUUUCACUUGUCAAAGGGGAGAGAGAGGCUUGUACGCACACAUAGAUAUACAGAGAGAAAACAAGAAGCAUAGAUAGACAAAUAUACACAGAAAACGUCAUAAAAAUUUUUGUAUUCGAUCAAAAGGCAGAGAAAUAAAGCAGAUCUUUUUGAAAGGGUAAUAGAUCGUCUCUUUUAUUUUGUUUUCGGUUUUACUAGUUUACUUCUUUUGCAUGCAUAACAUAUUUAAGUUUUAUUUUAAAAAAUACAAAGGAAAUAAAUAAAGAAAAGGAGAACAGUACCUUCUGUUUCACCUCGGAAAGACGAACCUUUUAGGUCCCGACCGCCAUACACAGCGGAGUCGGUGACGGCGCGUGAGGGGAAACAUGGUGGUCCGAUGAACGGAGGACCACCGGCUAAGGGCCGGAGCUCAGGAGAGCCAGGAAGGCUCAGAGAGAAUUCUCAGAUUUUUUUUUAAAAAAAG
rnacentral:lncRNA from 1 species